GAUGAACGCUAGCGGCAGGCCUAACACAUGCAAGUCGAGGGGCAGCACGUCUUCGGAUGGUGGCGACCGGCGCACGGGUGCGUAACGCGUAUGCAACCUACCUCUUACAGUGGGAUAGCCCAGAGAAAUUUGGAUUAAUACCGCAUAGUAUACAGAUUCAGCAUUGGGACUGUAUUAAACAUUUAUGGGUAAGAGAUGGGCAUGCGUUCUAUUAGUUAGUUGGAGUGGUAACGGCACCCCAAGACAGCGAUAGAUAGGGGCCCGUGAGAGGGGGAGUCCCCCACACUGGUACUGAGACACGGACCAGACUCCUACGGGAGGCAGCAGUGAGGAAUAUUGGACAAUGGGCGAGAGCCUGAUCCAGCCAUGCCGCGUGCAGG
rnacentral:rRNA from 1 species